ACAAUCAGAUGGAGUGCUUUGUGGGAUUGGCUGUGCUGAUGUCACUGAAGGUCAAACAAGCUCAGAUGAAAGCACUCAUCUUUAUGAACAUCAACCUGAGGAGACAGCGAGAUGAACCUUCAAUGUCCUUCACCGAUCAUCAUUUCAAGUGUGGUUUGGACGUGACAGACAGCGAUGAUAUCUGAGCGGGCGUGUUGGAGGAUGCUGAGGGUGCGUGACUGUUGCCAAACAGAUUUCAUCAUCCCGUAUCGUGCUGAACCCCUGCAGGUAAACCCUCUCGCUGUCUCCAUGCAAGAGAAACUCAGAAGUCCUCCAGCUAAUCUCAGGUCUGGAUGCAGCUGUGUUUCUGAGCCGUCGGGGAAAAAGACUCUCGAGUCCCUGCAGCAGCGGACACUUGGUAUUCUUAUGUUUUUA